rnacentral:rRNA from 1 species
UAGGGAAUCUUCGGCAAUGGACGAAAGUCUGACCGAGCAACGCCGCGUGAGUGAAGAAGGUUUUCGGAUCGUAAAACUCUGUUGUUAGAGAAGAAAAAGGACGUUAGUAACUGAACGUCCCCUGACGGUAUCUAACCAGAAAGCCACGGCUAACUACGUGCCAGCAGCCGCGGUAAUACGUAGGUGGCAAGCGUUGUCCGGAUUUAUUGGGCGUAAAGCGAGCGCAGGCGGUUUCUUAAGUCUGAUGUGAAAGCCCCCGGCUCAACCGGGGAAGGUCAUUAGAAACUGGGAGACUUGAGUGCAGAAGAGGAGAGUGGAAUUCCAUGUGUAGCGGUGAAAUGCGUAGAUAUAUGGAGGAACACCAGUGGCGAAGGCGGCUCUCUGGUCUGUAACUGACGCUGAGGCGCGAAAGCGUGGGGAGCAAACAGG